CUGCAGCCCGAGUAGUGAUCGUUAUUAUUGGGCCUAAAACGUCCGUAGCCUGUUUGGUAAAUGCUUGGGUAAAUCGUGUGGCUUAACCAUACGAAUACCGGGUAGACUGCCAGACUUGAGACCGGGAGAGGUUGGAGGUACUCCUGGGGUAGAGGUGAAAUUCUGUAAUCCUGGGGGGACCACCAGUGGCGAAGGCGUCCAACCAGAACGGGCCUGACGGUGAGGGACGAAGCCCUGGGGCGCAAACCGGAUUAGAUACCCGAGUAGUCC
rnacentral:rRNA from 1 species